GAAAUCUGGCACUUUCAGUGUCCGAGUUGUAAUUUGAAGAAGGUAUCUUUGGGUCUGGCUCUUGUCUAUGUUUCUUGGAACAGAACGUCACAGAGGGUGAGAAUCCCGUGCGAUGAGAUGUCCCAGACCUAUGUAAAGUUCCUUCGAAGAGUCGAGUUGUUUGGGAAUGCAGCUCUAAGUGGGUGGUAAAUUCCAUCUAAAGCUAAAUAUUGGCGAGAGACCGAUAGCGAACAAGUACAGUGAUGGAAAGAUGAAAAGAACUUUGAAAAGAGAGUGAAAAAGUACGUGAAAUUGUUGAAAGGGAAGGGCUUGAGAUCAGACUUGGUAUUUUGUAUGUUACUCUCUCGGGGGUGGCCUCUACAGUUUACCGGGCCAGCAUCAGUUUGAGCGGUAGGAUAAGUGCAAAGAAAUGUGGCACUGCUUCGGUAGUGUGUUAUAGUCUUUGUCGAUACUGCCAGCUUAGACUGAGGACUGCGGCUUC
rnacentral:rRNA from 1 species